AUGGAUCACUAUCAUGUAACAGCUGCAGCAUCACAACACAGAGAGGUUUUUGUACCAGCAGUAAUAGGGAUUGUAUCACUGUGGUGGACUUUUGGUAGCGGCACCAGACUUGAUGUUGGAAGCAACAGAGUCCCAACCCUCACCGUCCUGCCCCCCUCUAGUGAGGAGCUGUCCAGUACAACAACAGCCACACUGACGUGUCUGGCCAACAAGGGCUUCCCCUCAGACUGGACCAUGAGCUGGAAAGUGGAUGGGACCAGCAAGAAGCAGGAGACCAGUCCCGGGGUCCUGGAGAAGGACGGCCUGUACAGCUGGAGCAGCACACUGACUCUCACUGCCCAGGAGUGGACCAAGGCAGGAGAGGUGACCUGUGAAGCCCAGCAGAAAUCCCAGACUCCAGUCACCAAGACCCUGAGGAGGGCUGACUGUUCUGGGUAGGACCCCUCAGUCACACAGCCCUGUGGAGAGAGGCUGCUGGUUCCUCUGCUUUGACUAGCUUUGUUCUAAAAUCAGUCGUUCUCAGAUUUAGUGAUCAUUCUGGUGUAGACUAACAGGGGGCUUGGCUUGAAUUCAUGUGUCAAUCCAUUCUGUAGAUUGAUAUUUUGUUAGUUUUAGAUUUGAUGUGAUCUGCUUUAUUCACUAUCAUGUUUGCUUUGAUGCUUCGAUUGUGUGAUAAUGGAUUAAAAUAAAGAUUUCUUUUUGGAAUGCA